rnacentral:rRNA from 1 species
UUAUGACCUGGGCUACAAACGUGAUACAAUGGCUGUUACAAAGGGUAGCUGAAACGUAAGUUCUUGGCCAACCCCCAAAAACAGUCUCAGUCCGGAUUGGAGUCUGCAACUCGACUUCAUGAAGUUGGAAUCGCUAGUAAUCGCGAAUCAGCAUGUCGCGGUGAAUACGUUCUCGGGGUUUGUACACACCGCCCGUCAAACCACGAAAGUUGGCAAUACCCAAAGCCGGUGGCCUAACUCGUUUAUUCGAGAGGGCGCUGUCUAAGGUAGGGUCGACGAUUGGGGUUAAGUCGUAACAAGGUAUCCCUACCGGAAGGUGGGGAUGGAUCACCUCCUUU